GUGAAGGAGAGCUAGGAAGCCAAUUGGUGGAGCUGUUCCACCUCUUAAGACUUCCCUUUCCACUUCCCAGAGCCACCAAGGAGGAUGUUCUAGGGCAAAGGCUUAUUUGAUGUAGAAGCAGGAAGGCUGUUUAAGGGUGUGCACUUGGGUGUCCAUGUGAGUGAGGACAAGUGGAAGCAGAUCUGACUGGAAUUCCAGAAGAAUCUGCUCCCAGUGUGAGAGAUUGUGAAUUCCUGAAGGACAAGGACAGUAAGCAUCUUGUUCUGUUGUUUCCCCACAAUCUGAGAUAAAAUACCACAUAAUUGAAGAAAUAUGAAAUAACAGCAUUUGUAUAGCAGAAAAAGGCUGUAUGUGUGUCAGA